GGGACUCGGAGUGGUGCCGUCGACUGGCAGGACUCAGAAAGGAAGGGUUCCGUUGUUUUACAGCUUGCCACUAGGAUGCCCUUGCUCAAAUGCAUAGUGCUGCCCCCGAGGCCGGUUUGAAGUUCCAUUGUAGCACUCAACAGCAACGCAGCAACGCCCUUUCCCCUUCUUCGUUCUCCUAGACCCAGAGAACAUACCCCUCAUCCUUGGCUGCUAUGGGCGAAUCUCUGGAUUUGAUUAUAUUAACACGAGCAGUUCUAUUUCCUACUGGUCUGGCCAAACCUACCUCUGUGCAAUGGGGGGGGGGGGUGGUUAUUUUUAGCCGGCUCCCUAGAACAAAAUGUCCCGUCUCUCUCUUUCUCUUCAUCUAAAUCUCUUUGCUGGUUGCCUAUCUGAUAUUUAAAAUGAUCAGCUUCCCCAGUCAGACUACCUGUUAUAGGAAUUGGCUCCCAUCGCUUGACAAAUCAUAUAAAUAAGUCACGACCGUACGUCUAAGUGAAGAAUUGUUUCUCAACUGUCACAGGGAAACCCGCAAUCUCAAACUGCAGGUCUAUUGCAGGUGUUACCUUACUGCAUGAUCAUUCUAUACAUGACAACUGUACAUUGAUUUGCGUUAAUGGAGUGCACAGCCAUCAAAAUAAAUAAGAGCUGAUCAAAAUAUUGCCAUGUGCUCUUGGCCCUUUGAUAAACACAUUUUGUCAGCUCUCACUGAGCAGCUUUUAGAGCUCCAUAUGUAUUUCAUAAAUAUCCCAGCAAACGUGGGUCCCAUUUUAAUAACAUUUCAAUAACCCUCUUCCCCCCAACUUUGCAUGUUAAAAUAUAGUUAAACAGACUGAAACAUAUUAAAACAUUUAUCUCUCAUCUAAACCUGAUAUUAACACCUGGAUCCAUUUUUAACAGCAUGGUUUAGAGUGUUUUGCUACAAGCAAUUCAACAUAAAUACAAACAUCAUCACGAAGAGAACAACAAGUGAGGAAGGAGGAGGAAAAAGGAAACUCUUUUAUCAAAUGAUGAUGAAAUAAAUAUUGAAUAAUAGUCCAGUCAUUUGAAAAUACCCUUUGUGAGAUCUUUAGAACUAUAGCGACACAGAGAAAUAAUCUGGUUUAUAGAAUUAUCUGAUCUGGCCUACAGACUGUUGAUGAUCAAUAUUCUUCAGUACACACUACUUUAACAAAUAAGAGUAACUAAUUUAUGUUCCUUGUCCCCCGCCCCCCAGCACCGCCCCUCCACCAGAACUCCUUCCAUUGCAGCGAGCGGUCAUCUUCCUUCCGAUUUUCUGACAUUUCUAAAAAUAUCCUGUACCUCUAUAGCAUCACAAUUAGGCAGGGAAGAGGGGAGAUAAAAGAGGAGAGAAAAAGCCAUGCAAACUAUUUUUUUUUUACGGUAGGGCUGAAGUUUGAUCUUGGUAUUUCUACUAAAGGAUGAAAAACAACCCCUUUUCACACGCUCCAAACCUCUAGACUCAGAGAAGAAUACAAUCACUGUGCAGUAAAGAGGAGGCAAAAAUCCUGGUAGGGUAACGAUUAUUGUUAUGACAAGGAGCAAUAGCUGCUAUGUUAUAGAAAUAGUGUUAUGAAGAAACUGCGAAUGAACAGACAUUAAGAUAAACACUAACAAACUGCACCUAACAAGUCUAUUGUGUUUGUGAUAUUUGGCGUUCUCUUAAGUCUCGUUUAGUUUUUAAAUCGUUAUUGUUCUGUUCAUUCAUUCAUACAUAUGUACAUUGCUUCCCAUUUACUGUAAUUUCAGCAAGCUACUCUGAAAUUGUAUUCCAAAGGAACAGAAGUUCUAUUCUUUCUCUGUAUAUACAUCAAUAAAUGUAUCUCUCCAUUCUGCAGUCAAUCCUACGAAUAGUAAUAAAUCAAUUUAUAAUACAUUAACAAUAUAAAGGCUUCUAAUACAUCUGUUCUUUGUGACUUACUGCAAUUUAGUUGAUUUCCAAUGGCAUUUGCAAAAUGAUAAUAUAACCUCGAGACUCGGGGAAAACAUACAAAAAUGCAAAGCAGUACAGGGAAUGAGAUACAUAAAGUUACUAUUUUCAAUAUAAACAAAAUUAAGAUAUUUAAACUGGCAGAUAUAUGAAAAGCAGCUAUAGGGGUAGAUAUUAUGCACACAUAUCUAUCGCAAGCAGCCAGCGGAUAUCCCACCACCUUUCCACAUAUGCUUUUUAUGUCACAAACUCUACUACUCGAUUACAUGUACUGGCACGAACUGCAAACUGCAACUCAAAUCAGUGCUUCUAAAAAGAAUAAUAAAACAGGGAGCGAGCAGAACAUUCUCCCAGCUUCACGGAGUAAUAAAAACCCCCAUAAAAGAUGAAAUAUAAAAAAGAAUAGUCCACAAACAAAAUACAAGUCAGUUGCUGGAGGCGAGAUGUGCAUGCUUUAAUUUCGGGAGUUAGCAUGAGCACUGGGAGCUUCAUUUAAGAGCUACAUUCGAUUCCCUCCUAGUUUUAAAGAGGCAUGUUUCGCCACUAGAAUGAUGGCUCCUUUCUCUCUCUCUCAUUCCUUUCUAGAGUUCAGACUUUUGUGAGCAUUCGUCCACAGACUGUUUCGAAAGCACAAACUCUUGCUUUCCGAGGUUUUGCCCUACAAUGCCCUGCGUCCCUGAAAUAUCAAAUCAGCAGGAUUUUUUCACGGAUCUGUCCCAUUUCAUUUCCACCUGCUCAGAGAAGUCUGGGGAAUGGCCAUCCCACUUUGUUCCUGAAGACAAAGAGCAAGCUGAAGCCUUCACCAGCUGUAAAAAAAGGCUGAGGAGCCAUUACCUGUAAGUGGCCUUCAUUUGGCAGGAAAAGGUGCAGGUGUUAAAAGAAAAAACCCUCUACAUUUUAGCAUGAUUCUCAGGGAGUUUUGGUUCAGAUUCAUUGUUGCAAUGAGGAAAAGGUUGUUACCUGCGCUCCUCCCCAGAAGUGCCUGAUUUGCCGCUCGUGGUCAGGUGAGUGAAUUCCUAAAGGCUAAUGGAGGACCUGUGAAAUCCAUGAAAGACUCAAUUGCUGAGACCUUAAACAAAAUAACAGACUGUUUGAAUCACUGGCUUGUAAGCUUUAAGAUUAAGGAACUACAAAUUCUAUUGUUGGCACAAUAUUCCAGCAAUUCUUAAUUGGCUUCAAGAUCACCAGGGGUCCCAUAAUUAUCAAAUAAUUCCAUGGAUUCUUCCCAGAAAACAAAUCCAAACACAAGUGAGAGGUCUUUUACUUGUGAUGCAUGCUCAGCUGAACAGUUGCUAUUGAACUGGAAGGCAGAUCUCAAACCUCUAGCAGAGCUGAAAGCCUCCAAGAUAGUUCCCCAAUGCUAUAGUUAGAGACAUAAAACACAUGCUACUUGUAGGACAAGCAUUUAAAACGUAGAGGUUUUUCACCUUCCUCUGUAGCAUGGGGUACAGAUCACAGCU